UCCCUGGUAGUAUAUCGGCUAGUACACGCGCCUGUCAUCUCUGCUGCUUACAGGUCGCUCGAUCGCGCGAAAGCGGGGUUCGACUCCCCGCCAGGGAG